rnacentral:rRNA from 1 species
AGUCGAACGGCAGCACGGGGGCAACCCUGGUGGCGAGUGGCGAACGGGUGAGUAAUACAUCGGAACGUGUCCUGUAGUGGGGGAUAGCCCGGCGAAAGCCGGAUUAAUACCGCAUACGCUCUACGGAGGAAAGGGGGGGAUCUUAGGACCUCUCGCUACAGGGGCGGCCGAUGGCAGAUUAGCUAGUUGGUGGGGUAAAGGCCUACCAAGGCGACGAUCUGUAGCUGGUCUGAGAGGACGACCAGCCACACUGGGACUGAGACACGGCCCAGACUCCUACGGGAGGCAGCAGUGGGGAAUUUUGGACAAUGGGCGCAAGCCUGAUCCAGCAAUGCCGCGUGUGUGAAGAAGGCCUUCGGGUUGUAAAGCACUUUUGUCCGGAAAGAAAACUUCUGCCCUAAUACGGCGGGAGGAUGACGGUACCGGAAGAAUAAGCACCGGCUAACUACGUGCCAGCAGCCGCGGUAAUACGUAGGGUGCAAGCGUUAAUCGGAAUUACUGGGCGUAAAGCGUGCGCAGGCGGUUCGCUAAGACAGAUGUGAAAUCCCCGGGCUUAACCUGGGAACUGCAUUUGUGACUGGCGGGCUAGAGUAUGGCAGAGGGGGGUAGAAUUCCACGUGUAGCAGUGAAAUGCGUAGAGAUGUGGAGGAAUACCGAUGGCGAAGGCAGCCCCCUGGGCCAAUACUGACGCUCAUGCACGA